AGAUUGAACGCUGGCGGCAGGCCUAACACAUGCAAGUCGAGCGGCAGCACGGGUACUUGUACCUGGUGGCGAGCGGCGGACGGGUGAGUAAUGCCUAGGAAUCUGCCUGGUAGUGGGGGAUAACGCUCGGAAACGGACGCUAAUACCGCAUACGUCCUACGGGAGAAAGCAGGGGACCUUCGGGCCUUGCGCUAUCAGAUGAGCCUAGGUCGGAUUAGCUAGUUGGUGAGGUAAUGGCUCACCAAGGCGACGAUCCGUAACUGGUCUGAGAGGAUGAUCAGUCACACUGGAACUGAAGACACGGUCCAGACCU
rnacentral:rRNA from 1 species